rnacentral:ncRNA from 1 species
GAUUUUUCCCUACUCCUACGCCCGGCGCGCCAGCUGGAUCCGGCAGCGUCGUCACUAGCCUAAGCCAUAUCAGUCUCGAUAUAGCAACCAUCAAAGAUCGCAUUUGACAGUUAUGGCAAAGCGACACACCCUUCGCGCGUCCUGAGACUUGACGGUCGGUGACGAGGGAAAACUCGUAUCGAUUGAACCAGAGUUUCGGGGCCGAUUGGGAGGAUACCGGAGAUCGAUUGACGGCAGCGGCGCGUUUGGCGCUCCUGCACGAUUGCGCGGCCCACGAAACCCAAGGGUACGCGUCCAUCAACCAGGGAGAGUUAA